UAAUUGAAGAGUUUGAUCAUGGCUCAGAUUGAACGCUGGCGGCAGGCCUAACACAUGCAAGUCGAGCGGCAGCGGGAAGUAGCUUGCUACUUUGCCGGCGAGCGGCGGACGGGUGAGUAAUGUCUGGGAAACUGCCUGAUGGAGGGGGAUAACUACUGGAAACGGUAGCUAAUACCGCAUGACCUCGCAAGAGCAAAGUGGGGGACCUUCGGGCCUCACGCCAUCGGAUGUGCCCAGAUGGGAUUAGCUAGUAGGUGAGGUAAUGGCUCACCUAGGCGACGAUCCCUAGCUGGUCUGAGAGGAUGACCAGCCACACUGGAACUGAGACACGGUCCAGACUCCUACGGGAGGCAGCAGUGGGGAAUAUUGCACAAUGGGCGCAAGCCUGAUGCAGCCAUGCCGCGUGUGUGAAGAAGGCCUUAGGGUUGUAAAGCACUUUCAGCGAGGAGGAAGGGUUCAGUGUUAAUAGCACUGAACAUUGACGUUACUCGCAGAAGAAGCACCGGCUAACUCCGUGCCAGCAGCCGCGGUAAUACGGAGGGUGCAAGCGUUAAUCGGAAUUACUGGGCGUAAAGCGCACGCAGGCGGUUUGUUAAGUC
rnacentral:rRNA from 1 species